rnacentral:lncRNA from 1 species
ACACAAUAGGGAUAAGCAACCAUGGGACUCGCUGGAGGGAGGAGGAAUAGGCGGCAUCAGGCAUAGGGUCCUCGGAUGUACCAUCUUCAAGGAGGAAAUGAGCAAGGGAAAAAAAACAUCAAUACAUUCCCCAAGCAAAGAAAUGAGAUCGAGAUCCAAUGAGGACAUAGAUCAAAAAAUAAAAAAGGAUUGAAUGAGCAAUGAUGGG